AAAAAAUCUCCGAGUCUUGCAGCCUAAAACGGAAGUCAUGGCUGUAAGACCGGGGUGCAGCCGGAAACGUCUGCGCCUUCCGUUUUUGAAAAGGAGUAAAAUAUGAA
rnacentral:ncRNA from 1 species